AGCAGCCGCGGUAAUUCCAGCUCCAAUAGCGUAUAUUAAAGUUGUUGCAGUUAAAAAGCUCGUAGUUGAACUUCGGGAUUUGCCCAUUGGUCAGGCUUAACUGUCUGCACUGGUGUGACGAGUUCCUACCUUCUGAGGAAUCUCCAUGUCAUUCAGUUGGUGUGGGGGGAAAUCAGGACUGUUACUUUGAAAAAUUAGAGUGUUUAAAGCAGGCAUCCGUCUGAAUACAUUAGCAUGGAAUAAUAAAAUAGGACGGUUUGGUUCUAUUUUGUUGGUUUCUAGGAUCACCGUAAUGAUUAAUAGGGAUAGUUGGGGGCAUUAGUAUUCAAUUGUCAGAGGUGAAAUUCUUGGAUUUAUUGAAGACUAACUACUGCGAAAGCAUUUGCCAAGGAUGUUUUCAUUAAUCAAGAACGAAAGUUAGGGGAUCGAAGACGAUCAGAUACCGUCGUAGUCUUAACCA
rnacentral:misc_RNA from 1 species